GUAAGUUGUAGAGAUCCAUCCAUCAUGGAUCUUAGCAAGCUAGUGGGAGCUAUAAGCAUCUUAUGAGAGAAGAUCAAAUCGUUUGAUUUCUCAUAAAGAUGUGAAUGAAUCUUUUGUUUACUAGGUUUACAAAAGAUUAGUGGGAGUUAAUCAUAUUCCUAAAUUUAAAUAUAUAUAUAUAUAUAUAUAUACACACACACACAUAUAUGAUAUAUUAAUUUUGGAAAUGAAAAGAAUACUUCUUCGUUAAAGUUAUGACUUUAAACAUUUUAUAACGAUAGAAUGUAUAUGGGAGAUAUAGUCUAAAUACAUGGGAUAGAAAUCUAUAAUGAUAUAUUUCAAGAUAUAAUUCGAUUAUAUCAAUCCCUAAUAAUAGACAAGAGAUGCUAGGAAGUUUCUCAUAUGAUGAUAAACUUCAAUUAGAAGGACGACUCUAGUGAGACUAGCAAGUUGCCCUUCUCAAAGGGAACGUACACUUUGACUCCCAAAGAAAUAAUGCGUAAAUAGAAUCCUUUAUGCAUACGCAGAAAGGUGAUUUAUGUAUUUCAUAUUGUAUGAAAACAUUGAUAUGAGUUGUACCUAGAAAGGUAUAAGACGAUAUCAGUGCAAGCCCAGGAUCAGAACCACGACAACUAUCAAGUGACUCCUUAAGUAUUUGAGAAAUACUAAAGGAUAAAUUCCUCAAAGAAUGAGGAAGAAUUAGAGUAACGUAAAGGAAGCGUAAAUGUAUUAGAUUAUGAAUCUAAUCCAUCAUUGGAUGUUUCUUCAUUAUGAAUGAAGAGAUAAUCAGCUAUCUCUUUAUUAUGACUAAAGAGAUAUUUGGAUGGAAACAUUAAAAGUAAUGACUUUAGUGUGUUCCAUUAUGAAUGCAAAUAUAUUGCCAUAUAGAAGCUUACAAACAAUGUUGUUUGGAUGGGAAAGUUAUUCAUGAACUCUCUAUUCGGUUCCAACCAGAAAGUGUCUCUAGUGUACCGACACUACGACACUAAUGGGGCGAUAGUUCAAGCCAGGGAAUCAAGGUCUCAUCAAGAUCCGAACUCAAAUGAGAGACUGAACCACAUGAUUGAGAAUCAUGUAUAAUGGUGACGUCGUUAUUCUCAAGGUUGCUUCUAUGGAUAACAUAUAGAUAUCCAUUGUCUAGGCCUACUACUCAGCCAUUUUUGAAAUGACUAAAGAAGAGGUAUCAUCACUGAUGACCAAGCUGAUUGGCUCUAGUGCAAGUGGGAGAUUGUUGGAAAUGUGCCCUAAAACCAAUCAUGUGAUGAUAUUUUACGGACAUUUCACAUGUUAAACUAAUCUAGUUUAAUAUCAAGGGCAAAGAUUAUUGUUUUAAGCCGUCUCAUAUAAAUGUUAUAUGCUUAAACGAUAAGUCCAAGGAAUAUGUAAUUAGGAGAAUGUAAUUUAAACAAGUUAGAUUUAUGAGACCAUUCUCUUUCGUAUACAUAUCCUAAACGUUCAUGAUCAUAGGAUUGCCAAUUGGGCAUUGACAGUCCGUUAAGAUCAGUAUGUGCUAUGUCUUCUCUUAGUGAGAGUGACUGGUCUCGAGUCAUUGGUGUGACUGACACCAAGAUAAGUACGUAGGUGCUCAAUAAGGAAUGAGUUCACUGAACACGAUCAACGAAGAGUUCUCAUACUCAUGUCACAUAAGAACUCAUGGUUGGGAUAAUGCAAAGUAGUCCUUUGACCUGAGGCAUCAUAGUUGUUUUGUGGUUAGGUCCUUGAUCUUUGAUUAUGUCAAAGUCACUCCAUUCGCGGGUGUCCACGGCAUAGUUGGGGUUAAGCCACUUAGCCAUGGAGGCAAGUGAAUACGCAACAAGGGAUCUCUAACCUUCAAACCGUUUGAGGGAGAAUACUCUAUGAUAUGAUUAAGAAUCUCUGGCCAGAGUAUAAAUGAGAUUUAGGAAGUCGUUCCAAAUCACAUUCAAAGUAAUCAUAUAAGUAAAAUGAAUCACAUUGGAUAGUAGACAUGAAUAAACUAUCAAACCAAACAAUGUGGUCAAGAGUAUUGUAUUAGAGAAAGACUGUAUUGCAUUGUAAUCCUAAACUGAAUAGGUUCUCCACCUCUUCUGAUUAGCUUGGGUAACCAUGACAUACUGCUAGGUGUCACUGGUUUGUGGAAGCCCUAGACGUGUAUAAUCACUAAAGGGAGAAUUGAAAGUAAGUUUCAAUUCACAAUCGAUUUGAAAGAGUUCUAAUCACCCAUUGCCUCGCUAAAAGGAACCUAAUGGAUCGUACACCGUGUAAGGUAGAGAUUGAAGAAACAAAGGAGAUGAGUAAGAAUAAUUAAAUGGUUUAAUUAUUUAUUUAUGGCAAGGAUUAAUUAAUAUGUUAAUUAAUCAAACGAAUAAAGUUCGUUAAAAGACCACGGGUUAGUUUUGGGCCUUAAGGCCCAAUGGGCUUCGAACGUCAAGCCCAUUAACUUAAGUUGUAUGACAACUUAAUUCACAAAGGCCCAAAAAGCCCAAUAGAACCCUAUGGCCGGCCAUUUAGAGGAAGGGUAGUGAACUUGCUUUAAUUACAAGUUUGCCACUCCAAUGAAUAAAGGUAUAAAUAUGACUUUAUAACCAAAAUUCAUUUAGGGGUUUCUUUUAGAGAAUUGGAGAGAACAUAUCUCUCUCUUUUCUCUCUAAGAGGUUGGCCCCCUUGGAGGGAUUAGCUAGUAAUCUUUCUCCUCCAAGGUCACUCAUCUCUUCUUC
rnacentral:lncRNA from 1 species